rnacentral:rRNA from 1 species
CCUAGGGAGGCUGCAGUGGGGAAUACUGCACAAUGGGGGAAACCCUGAUGCAGCGACGCCGCGUGAGUGAAGAAGUAUUUCGGUACGUAAAGCUCUAUCAGCAGGGAAGAAAAUGACGGUACCUGACUAAGAAGCCCCGGCUAAAUACGUGCCAGCAGCCGCGGUCAUGCGUAGGGAGCAAGCGUUAUCCGGAUUGACUGGGUUUAAAGGGAGCGUUGGUGGGAGCGAAAGUCUGGAGUGCAAUCGCAUGGCUUAACCAUGGAACUGCUUUGGAAACCGUGCAGCUGGAGUGCAGGAGAGGUAAGCGGAAUUCCUAGUGUAGCGGUGAAAUGCGUAGAUAUUAGGAAGAACACCAGUAGCGAAGGCGGCUUACUGGACUGUAACUGACGUUGAGGCUCGAAAGCGUGGGGAGCAAACAGGAUUAGAUACCCGAGUAGUC